GGAGUCUAGCAUGUGCGCGAGUCAUUGGGAUUCGUUGCUAAACCUAAAGGCGAAAUGAAAGUGAAGGCGCGCCUCGCGCGCGCCUAGGGAGGAUGGGCGAGGCUCCAGCCGUCGCCCCGCACUCCCGGGGCGUCUCGUUCUCAUCGCGAGAAGAGGCGCACCCAGAGCGUACACGCUGGGACCCGAAAGAUGGUGAACUAUGCCUGGUCAGGACGAAGUCAGGGGAAACCCUGAUGGAGGUCCGUAGCGAUUCUGACGUGCAAAUCGAUCGUCGGAACUGGGUAUAGGGGCGAAAGACUAAUCGAACCAUCUAGUAGCUGGUUCCCUCCGAAGUUUCCCUCAGGAUAGCUGGCGCUCGCUUUUUUUGCGAGUCUCAUCCGGUAAAGCGAAUGAUUAGAGGCAUUGGGGUCGAAACGGCCUCAACCUAUUCUCAAACUUUAAAUGGGUGAGAUCUCCGGCUUGCUUGAAUAAUGUGUAAUGCAUUUUACUCGUGUGAAGCCGCGAGAUCGGAUCAGAGUGCCAAGUGGGCCACUUUUGGUAAGCAGAACUGGCGCUGUGGGAUGAACCAAACGCGGAGUUAAAGCGCCUAAAUCGACGCUUAUGGGAUACCAUGAAAGGCGUUGGUAACUUAAGACAGCAGGACGGUGGCCAUGGAA
rnacentral:rRNA from 1 species